CCUUUUUCUUUUUCUUAGAUUUCUUGGAUUUACCUAAAAAGAAUGAGAGGAACACGUGAGACAACACUAAAAGAACACAAUAUAAUGUUUUCAAGAGAAAUUCUGCAUAACCAAAGGAAUUGUUUAUUUACAGAUUACAACAAUCUCAAGUUCAAGAAAAAGAAACAAGCCAGAAGGGAAAAAAAAUAGAAAACAAAAGGUGGCAGCACUUUGGUGUGCAUACUCAAAGAGAGUUUUAGACAGAAAGGACAUCGUGAACAAAAUCACAGAGCUCCCAUUUUGCCAAAUAUGGUAUUUAAUCAAUUGAGAGACUGCACCAGCGAACCCAGGUAAAUAACCAUGGAAGAAACCAAGAAAUCUUCAUUAAUUGCAUCCCCCUUAUUCCGACCUAAAUCAAUGAGUAAAAUUUCACCCAAUUUAUCU